AUCAGAACUACAGUCAUGGUCACCUUCAAAGUCAUCGUGUUCAUAACUUGUGCAUUUGCUUUCGUUCAAGUAGAGUCUAGAAGUUGGAAAAGAGAUAUGAUUCUUCACAGUCGGAAAGCAAUUCCUCCUCCCACCCAUCCUCUUCAAAUCUGCCCUUUUUAUCAGUGCCCGGGUAAAAACGGAAAAAGAACUCUGACACGAACAAUUUCAAAGAGAGUUUUCAAGGAACCAUCAAUCGAGAAUGAUCCAAUUGAUACGAGCGACUUCCAACUCUAAAACAGAAACUACCUUUGACAAUCCAGAAGGUGUAUUGGACUUCCAAUAUAAAUAUAUUUUUGCUGUAAUUAAUGCGAUUCAAUGGAACCCUUUCAAGCUCUAUCAACAAUUUCAAAAAUAAUGUAUUCUGUGUAAUGUGAAAUGAAUAAAUUUAAAUUCAAGAGUUUCA